UGGAAACUAAACAUAUUUUUUUAUGAUAAGUAUAUUUUGAUGAAAUAAUUAAAAAAUCUUUUUAAAUAGCAUAUACUUUUAAUUAGGUAUGUAUAUUAUAUUCUAUAAUUAUUAAAAAUAUUUUUUCUUAAUAUUUAGUUUCUUUUUAAUUUUAUGUUUUCUUUAUGUUUGUGGAACUUAAUAUACCCAUAAUCAAAAUACAAGAAAAUCUGAAUUCUCAUUUUAAAAUUAUUUAAAAUAAUUUUAAGUUUACCUUUUAAUAAAUCUAAGUCAUACAAUUAUUUAGAGGUUAUAAAAUAUUUUAAUUAUUGUAAAUAUUAAUAUUCUUUCAUGACCUUACAAAAAUUUAUCAACUAUACUUAUGUAUGUAAUUUCCUAUUGACCAUCUCUUAUUUUCUAAUAUUUUUUAAAAAUCAAAAUAUAAUUUUGAUAAAUAUUAUGAAAAUACAUGCACAUUUAAGAGAGAAAUAAAACUAAUUUCUUUUACUUAGAAUCAAAAUAAUUAUACUUAAGUUUGAUUUGAAUCUGAAUUUGAAUUUGAAAGAAUAUAUAUAACUCAAUAUACUCACAACAUGAGUGAAUCGACUAAUCCAAUUUAUAUCCAAAAUAAAAAAUGGAGACAUAAUAUAAUAUUAUUAAUAUAAUAUAUCCAAAAUCAUAUGUCUAAUUAAAAUAAUAUAAUAUUAAUAAAAUCAUAUAAUAUUAUUAAAAUAAAUUAUACUUAUAAAUUAUAAAUUGUUUCAAAACUAAAAUUAAAUAUCAAUUACUAUUAUAAAUUAACUUUAUAAAUAUUUAUGUAUGUGCAUGAGCACCGGAAAAUCACAUCUAUCUAUAUAUAUAUAUAUAUAAAUGUUGGUCUCUCUCCAAAGAGAGACACAUCAUUAAGUAAAAUAAGGAGAGUUCGCCACGUGUCUUUGUUUUUCUUUUCAUGGACCCCGUGAAAAAAUAUUUGGGCUUUAGCGUAUUGUCUUCCUCAAAGUCACCGCAACCGAAUCUAGGGUUCGUGUUCUGCUUAGUUCUCCGAGACCAGAACGUUCUUCUUCCUUUUCUGACAUCGACAAUGGAGUUUCCAGAUAUUGAGUGAGUCGAAUUGAUUCGAUUUGAAGGAGCUCUGUGUGAAUCUUCUGAGAGCGUCGUUUUGGCUUACGUUCUAUUCGUCUGUAACGUCUCGAGUUACUGAUCCCUCGCCAUUAUCAUACUUCUUAACUCCACCGUCUUCCUCUACAAGGUAGUAUCUACACCUAUAUAAAGAUCGUUGUGUCUCGCUGCGGCGAUCGAUGCUGCGGAGGAUCCGGUUCGGUUAAGGCAUGUGCUUCUUCCUAGGCUGGAAAGAUCUGAUGAAUUAGAAGAUCAACAGCCAAAAGAUUUGUCACCUGACUUUGUAGGUAUGAGCGAUUUGUCAAUGCCCUUGAUGAAUUAUCUGAUGAUACACUUCCCGAUCUAAAAGAGAAGGCUUUGAAGGUUGAGACUAAAGAGCUAGGUGAAACACUUGAUGUUGCCUCAAAGCUGUGUUUAAAAUGGUGCUCGCCUUUUGCGCCAUGGCGCGAGGCGCACUCAAGCAAUGGCUCUGUCGCCACGUACCACCUAGGCGAGGGUGGGUUCCACAAGGUGCGCGCCAUGGGUGCCUUGUCGAGAGGCGAGCAAGUCGAAGGCGAGCGACAUGGCGAGAUUAACGUAAACCGUAUCUAAACCAUAUUAGAGUUGCUUUGGUCGGAGUUAACACACACGUUUUAAUGUCUGAGGCUGGGGGUAAUGCUACACGUCGUGAAGUUGAUCCAGGAAGAAAAUAUGGGAUCAUGUUGAAUAACAAUUCCAACUCUUGGAAGUGUAUCUUCUGUAAGAACAACUUCAAUACUGGAAUUUCACGUCUCAAGCAACACUUGAGAGGGGAUCAUAGGAAUGCCAAAGCUUGUACUUUAUGUCCACCACAUGUGAGAGAGGCGUUAAUCAAACACAAGCAGAUGAAGGAGGACGAGAUAGCUGCUCGUAACUUGGCUCUCCAAGAAGAAGAAGAAGGUCUUGACGAGUAUGAUGAAGAGUGCGGGAAUGAAAGUCAGCCGCGACGUUCUGUCCAUGCUAAGAAGAGGAGAGUUAGAGGUCCACUGGACAGGUAUGUGACUGUUCCUCCUCCUGAUGUUUUGCAAGGAAGGAAAGAUAGAAAGAGUACUCUUGGAGCUGCUUGUGUUAAAGAGGCAAGGGAAAAUGUAGUGGAGAUAUAACUAAGUGGUUUUUGGAUGCUGGUCUUGCGUUCAAUGCAGUCAACUAUUCUAGUUUUGACAAGAUGAUUCAAUCAAUUGGGCUAUAUGUACCAGGAUUGAAACCACCAAGUAUGUAUGAAUUAAAGGUUCCAUUGGUUAAUAAAGAAGUGCAGAACACUCUUGUCCAAAUUGAGGAUAAAAAGAAGGAGUGGGCUAGUAAAGGAUGUUCACUUAUGUCUGAUGGUUGGAGAGAUUCAGUGGCUAAGAAAGACAUUGUCAACUUCCUAGUUAAUUCCCCUAAAGGUUAUGUUUUCAUCAAGUCAAAAGAUGUUUUCGAAGUGGUGAAAGAUGCAUAGUUGUUGUUUAACUUGCCAGAUGAUAUGGUUGAGGAAAUUGGAGAAGCUAAUGUAGUUUAAGUCAUCACAGACAAUGCAAAGAACUACAUAAAAGCUGGCGAGCGCCAUAUUGCGCCAUGGCGCGAGGCGCAAGGCUCGGCACGUCUCGCCUUGGUGCGCCAUGCGCCAUUUUAAACACAGCCUCAAAGUAUGGAAGGCAUUGUGCAAAACAUUGGAAACUUUCUGCCUAUGACACAAGAGAUGGAGGCGUUGAUGUCCGAACUAGCUAGAGUAAGCAGCAAUGCAAAAGCAUCGGCAGAAGACUAGAGUUGGAUUGCUUAAGACACAUUCAUCACAUAUUGAAUAAUGAUGACUUAGAAGUUAGCUUAUUCAGCAGAAUAUGAACUCCAAUGGGCUAACAAUCAAAAUGGAUAAGUAACUUCUUAUCUCAAUCAAAAUGGAUAAGUAACUUUUUAUAUUCCAUUUGUUUUAAAAUAUGGUGCACUUUUUAAGACAAUUGCAUUUUCAUAAUUUUAUAUCUCUAUAUGUUAUCAGUAACGUAUCUGUUACUAUGAGUAUGUUUGACGGACAGAAUGUCAAGCUCCACAACAAACUUGAAACAAAUGCGAGGUGAUCCAAGGGUUGGGGUUGCAACCAGUAUCAACCCCAAACUUGUGGGAGGGCACCUGUUUCUGAAUGCCACCUCAGGGACACACAUAUAUUUUGACAAGGAAACUAAUGCAGGCGAGAGCUAUUUCUACAGACUGGUUUCCCAAGACAAUUGGCUUCCAUCAGCAGCUCCACUUCUAAAGACCUAUGCCAACGUGGAAACUUUGAGCACAGCAGAGCUCAGUGAGUUUGUCAUAGCUGCUCCAUCUCAGAUAUCGUGAAACCGCUGAGGGUCUGUUUGUCUGUUUUGAUGGGAUUAUGAUAAACUGCAUAACAUGAGAGCCAAUGAAGCUGGCCAUCUUCUGGCUGGUGAGGGAGUGAAACCGGAAGAAAAUCAGGCUCCUCCCUUUGUUGCAGCAAUGGACGGUAAAAACUACAUAUUCUAGGUGAGAGUUAGUUCCUACAACUUCAUAGCAAAUCACCAAACCUUUACGGGAGAAUCUCCCGGAUCCUCAGUGAACAUGACCGUUUGCCACUACCUGCAUUUUUGAAAAUGGAGGAGACGAUGACAACCUUGAAGCCAUCUCGGUUCCUGCUAAGUUGGAGAUUGGUGGUAAUAGUCCGGCGCAAGUGUCCGCUGAGAAGGUGAAAAAGGCACGUAAGGCAUAGGUGGCAAAGAUUGAAGUUUACGUUGCACUAUUUCCAUUUUCAAUAAUGCUUAUGCAUGUCGUUUUUUUUUUCUUUUUUUUUGUACUUUUGGUUUAUGAAUUAUGAGCUACUUUGUCUUUAACUCUUAUAAUUCAAUGAUUGGUUCUCUCCAAUUUUUAUAAUAUCUCUCUAAGUUUCAAAA